rnacentral:rRNA from 1 species
GGACGAAAGUCUGACGGAGCAACGCCGCGUGAGUGAAGAAGGUUUUCGGAUCGUAAAACUCUGUUUUCAGGGACGAAUGUGCAAUAUGUGAAUAAUGUGUUGUAAUGACGGUACCUGACAAGAAAGCCACGGCUAACUACGUGCCAGCAGCCGCGGUAAUACGUAGGUGGCAAGCGUUGUCCGGAAUUAUUGGGCGUAAAGCGCGCGCAGGUGGGAUAAUCAGUCUGAUGUUAAAGUUCGGGGCUCAACCCCGUGAAGCAUUGGAUACUGUUAUUCUUGAGUGCAGGAGAGGAAAGUGGAAUUCCUAGUGUAGCGGUGAAAUGCGUAGAUAUUAGGAGGAACACCAGUGGCGAAGGCGACUUUCUGGACUGUGUCUGACACUGAGGCGCGAAAGCCAGGGUAGUGAACGGGAUUAGAUACCCCGGUAAUCCUGGCCGUAAACGAUGGGUACUAGGUGUUGGGGGUAUCGACCCCUCCAGUGCCGGAGUUAACGCAAUAAGUACCCCGCCUGGGGAGUAC